CAAGUCGAACGGUGAAGCCCAGCUUGCUGGGUGGAUCAGUGGCGAACGGGUGAGUAACACGUGAGCAAUCUGCCCCUGACUCUGGGAUAAGCGCUGGAAACGGCGUCUAAUACCGGAUAUGAGCUACGGCCGCAUGGUCGGUAGUUGGAAAGAAUUUCGGUCAGGGAUGAGCUCGCGGCCUAUCAGCUUGUUGGUGAGGUAAUGGCUCACCAAGGCGUCGACGGGUAGCCGGCCUGAGAGGGUGACCGGCCACACUGGGACUGAGACACGGCCCAGACUCCUACGGGAGGCAGCAGUGGGGAAUAUUGCACAAUGGGCGCAAGCCUGAUGCAGCAACGCCGCGUGAGGGAUGACGGCCUUCGGGUUGUAAACCUCUUUUAGCGAGGAAGAAGCGAAAGUGACGGUACUCGCAGAAAAAGCGCCGGCUAACUACGUGCCAGCAGCCGCGGUAAUACGUAGGGCGCAAGCGUUAUCCGGAAUUAUUGGGCGUAAAGAGCUCGUAGGCGGUUUGUCGCGUCUGCUGUGAAAACUGGAGGCUCAACCUCCAGCCUGCAGUGGGUACGGGCAGACUAGAGUGCGGUAGGGGAGAUUGGAAUUCCUGGUGUAGCGGUGGAAUGCGCAGAUAUCAGGAGGAACACCGAUGGCGAAGGCAGAUCUCUGGGCCGUAACUGACGCUGAGGAGCGAAAGGAUGGGGAGCAAACAGGCUUAGAUACCCUGGUAGUCCAUCCCGUAAACGUUGGGAACUAGUUGUGGGGUCCAUUCCACGGAUUCCGUGACGCAGCUAACGCAUUAAGUUCCCCGCCUGGGGAGUACGGCCGCAAGGCUAAAACUCAAAGGAAUUGACGGGGACCCGCACAAGCGGCGGAGCAUGCGGAUUAAUUCGAUGCAACGCGAAGAACCUUACCAAGGCUUGACAUAUACGAGAACGGGCUAGAGAUAGUCAACUCUUUGGACACUCGUAAACAGGUGGUGCAUGGUUGUCGUCAGCUCGUGUCGUGAGAUGUUGGGUUAAGUCCCGCAACGAGCGCAACCCUCGUUCUAUGUUGCCAGCACGUAAUGGUGGGAACUCAUGGGAUACUGCCGGGGUCAACUCGGAGGAAGGUGGGGAUGACGUCAAAUCAUCAUGCCCCUUAUGUCUUGGGCUUCACGCAUGCUACAAUGGCCGGUACAAAGGGCUGCAAUACCGUAAGGUGGAGCGAAUCCCAAAAAGCCGGUCCCAGUUCGGAUUGAGGUCUGCAACUCGACCUCAUGAAGUCGGAGUCGCUAGUAAUCGCAGAUCAGCAACGCUGCGGUGAAUACGUUCCCGGGUCUUGUACACACCGCCCGUCAAGUCAUGAAAGUCGGUAACACCUGAAGCCGGUGGCCCAACCCUUGUGGAGGGAGCCGUC
rnacentral:rRNA from 1 species